rnacentral:rRNA from 1 species
ACGGCUGCUCAGUAACACGUAGUCAACUUACCCUAUGGACGAGGAUAAUCUCGGGAAACUGAGCAUAAUACUCGAUAGUUCAUAAUGCCUGGAAUGGUUUAUGGUUGAAAUGAUUCGUCGCCAUAGGAUGGGACUGCGGCCUAUCAGCUUGUUGGUGAGGUAAUGGCCCACCAAGGCGAUUACAGGUACGGGCUCUGAGAGGAGAAGCCCGGAGAUGGGUACUGAGACAAGGACCCAGGCCCUAUGGGGCGCAGCAGGCGAGAAAACUUUGCAAUGUGCGAAAGCACGACAAGGUUAAUCCGAGUGAUUUCUGCUAAAGAAAUCUUUUGCAAGUCAUAAAACCACUAGUGAAUAAGGGGUGGGCAAGUUCUGGUGUCAGCCGCCGCGGUAAAACCAGCACCUCAAGUGGUCAGGAGGAUUAUUGGGCCUAAAGCAUCCGUAGCCGGCUCUGUAAGUUUUCGGUUAAAUCCAUGUGCUCAACGCAUGGGCUGCCGAAAAUACUGCAUAGCUAGGGAGUGGGAGAGGUAGACGGUACUCGGUAGGAAGGGGUAAAAUCCUUUGAUCUAUCGAUGACCACCUGUGGCGAAGGCGGUCUACCAGAACACGUUCGACGGUGAGGGAUGAAAGCUGGGGGAGCAAACCGGAUUAGAUACCCGGGUAGUCCCAGCUGUAAACGAUGCAGACUCGAUGAUGCAUUGGCAUAUAGCCAGUGCAGUGUCGCAGGGAAGCCGUUAAGUCUGCCGCCUGGGAAGUACGUACGCAAGUAUGAAACUUAAAGGAAUUGGCGGGGGAGCAGA